UCAAUGAGAAUAAAAUAUUUAGUUAGCAAGGAGUUGAAAGGCUUGUACAAUGAAAAUUAGAAAUCAUUGCUAAAGUUUAAAGAAGACACCCCACGUUGAUAGAUUGAAAGACAAUAUUGUUUAGCUGUCAGUACUAUCCAAAGUAAUCUACUAAAGAUUCAGUGCCAUCCCUACUAAAAUCUCAAUGAUAUUUUUGCAGAUAUAGAAAACCUAUCCUAAAAUUCAUAUGGAAUCACAUGGGACCCCAAAUAGCCAAAAGACUCUUUUAAAAGAAGAACAAAGAUGUAUGACUCACACUUUCUGAUUUCCAAACUUAUUACAAAGCUAUAGUAAUCAAAACUGUGAUCAUAACAUAAAGACAGAAUAUAGACCAAUGGAAUAGAAUAGAGGCAAGAAAUAAGCUCUUGUAUAUGUGGUCAAAAUGUUUUUUAUAAGAGUGUCAAAACUGUUGAAGAAAGAUAGUGCGGUGGCCUAGUGGUUAAGGAUCUGGCAUUGUUACUGCUGUGGCUUGGGUCACUUCUGUGACACAGGUUCAAUACCUGGCCUGGAAAACUUCUGCAUGCUGUGGGUGUGGCCAAAAAAAAAAAAAAAAUGCAAACCCAAACUACAGUGAGAUACCACUUCGUACCAUUAGGAGGGCUAUCAUCACAAGACAGAAAAUAGCAACUGUUGGAGAGGAUGUGAAAGAAUUGGCACACUUAAUCACUGUUGGUGGCAUGUAAAAUGGUCCAGCUGCUGUGGAAAAUAGUUACAAUAAUUCCUCAAAGAAUUAAACAUAGGAAUACCAUAGGAUCCAGCAAUUCCAUUUCCAGUUAUAUACCCCAAAGUGUUGAAAGCAGGGGAGAAUUCCCUUUGUAGGUUAACGACCCUGACUAGGAUCCAUGAGGAUGAGGGUUUGAUCCUGGCCUCACUCAGUGGGUUAAGGAUCCAGUGUUGCCGUGAGCUUUGGUGUAGGUGUAGGUCACAGACACAGCUCGGAUCCCGUGUUGCUGUGGCUGUGGUGUAGGCCAGCAGCUGUAGCUCCAAUACAACCCUCAGCCUGGUAACUUCAGGCGUGGCCCUAAAAAGAAAAAGAAAGUUGAAAGCAGGGAUUUGAUCAGCUGUUUGUAUACCCAUGCUCAUAGCAGCAUCAUUCACAAUAGCUAAAAUGUGCAACCCAAGUGCCCGUCUACAAAUAAGUGGAGAGGUAAAAUGUGGUAUAUACACACAAUGGAAUAGUAUUCAGCCUUGAAAAGGAAGUUCUGCCACAUGCUGCAACAUGGAUGAACCUUUAGGACAUUAUACUAAGUGAAAUAAACCAAUCACAAAAAGACAAGUAUAAUUCCACCUAUAUAAAGUACUUGGAGUUGUCAAAGUUGUAGAGACAGCAGAAUGGAAUGGGAGUUGUUUAAUGGGUGUAGAAUUUCUGUUUUUCAGGGUGAAAAGAGUUAUAGAAAUGAAUUGUAAUAAUGUUUUCACGUUGUCAAUGUAUUUAAUAUCACUUAUCUGUACACUUAAAUGGUGAAGAUGGUAAAUGUAUGUUAUGUUUAUUUUACCAUGUUAGAAAAGAUUGUGGCACAGUGGGUUAAGGAACUGGCAUUGUCACUGCUGUGGCUCUCGUUACUGCUGUGGCCCAUGUUCGAUCCCUGGUCUGGGAACCUCCGCAUGCUGUGAGCACAGCCCCCCCCCCCCCAAAAAAAGGAAAAAAAUCUUCCACUGAGGAACUCCAAGCUAAGAGAACAUUUUCACAUGUUGACUCUGACCUGUACAAAAUGAAAGGAGCUGCUGUUUUUCCCCCAGGAUGGGUAAAAGAUUGGAUUGCUAAACGUGUGGGUCCAGGAAGACAAAACCUCAACUCAGGAACUGAUAUAAAUGUUUUAAUUAUUAUUCUUCCUGUUUGUCUUCUUUAAAGUUAUAUCGUUGAUGUAGCAAAAAAUGCCUACUUCAAAAGCCUUGGAGAUAGGAAUGUUUUGACUAUGUGUUUGCUUUAUGCAAUUUUCUCUGUUUUAUGUGUCUUUUUAGUUACAUAGUAAAGGUGAGUAUUCUGAUAGUUUCACGGUCAGUUUUCUUUUCUGAUUUUAUGUGUUUAGCUUCUCUUUGCUCUCUUAGGAUUUUUCCUUCUAUACAAGUCCCUCAACUAUUAUUUCAGUUUAUCUGACCUUUGAGGAAGUUUUUUACAUUUACUAAGUUUCUACCCAACCGGAAUUGUGGGUUUGGAUUAGAACAAACAAAUAAAAAAGAUAGAACUGACAGGGACUUCUGCUUCAUGCCAGGAUGUGGUAAAGAGAUUAGAACCACACUGUCACCUUAAACAAAUAAAAAACUGGACAAAAUAUAUGAACAAAAAGAUGCAUCCCCCUUCUAUUGGUGCUAUAGCAAAUUACCACAGAUGUAGUAGCUUAAAAUAACACAUUUAUUAUUUUGUAUUUAUGAUGGUCAGAGUCUGAAAUGGAUCUCAGCAGGCUAAAACCAAGGUGUUUGCAGGAGAAAUGAGGGGAGAAUCUGUGUCCUUGCUUUUUCCAGCUUGAGGCUGCAAAACUGUCUUAUGCGUUCCUUGGCUCAUGGCUCUCUUCUGUCUGCAGACAGCUCUGCUGCUGUCAUCACAUUUCCUUCUCGGACUCUUAACUCUCCUAAACCUUAUUUGACUUAUAAGGACCCCUGUUAUGACCUUGUUAGAUUAAUAUGGGCUAAUUGGAACACAGGUUGCCCAAUGGUGAGCUGCGGUUCAACAAAAGGCUACCAGAGAAGUUGAAAAAGAGUUUCUUCCUCCUAGGUCCUGGAGGAAAUACACGGCAUGCCUGGAGGGCCCACAUGUGGAGGUCAAGGUAGAGUGCAGGCAGAGAGCGCCACCGGGCCUGGGCCGCAUGCCUCUGUGUUAAGGUCUGUGGGCGGAAGGCCUUGGGCUUGCAGGAGUGGUCGAUUCAAACCAAAAACAAUGGGGGUUUUGUAAGUUCCACAGAGGUUUUAUCUAAGGAGCACACUAGGAGGAGGCCCCGAGAGGUCGCGAGAGGUCGGGGAAGUCCUGUCAAAAGCCCGCAUUUGCCUGUGUCCCUGCGGGCUGUUAUCUAGGGCAGGCACUUGCAUGAGAGGGGCCAGGGUCAGUUGAAGACCCUACAGCCGCUCAGGCAAACGAGAUGAUGCCAAGUUAUCGAUACCGUGGAGUAGUUUAACGAAACUUUUUUUUCCCUCUCCUCUUAACAGUCCCUUUGAAUACGUCGGGCUCACUUGGAUAACCCAGGGUAAUCCUCCCAUCUCAAAUUCCUUAAUUCCAUAUGCAAAGUCCCUUUUGGCAUGUAAAGUAAUACAGUCACAGGCUCUGGAAUUAGAAUAUAGACACUUUGGGGGAGACCAUUAUUCUGCCUCCCACCCGGGGUCUUCAGACCUCAGACAGUACAAGGUAUGGAGGGAAACAAAUGGGGUAAGACCAGCAACGGCUUUCGUUAGUAACUGGAGAGUGUUUCCAGGCUGCAGCACGAGGAGAGGGAGUUCAAGCAGAUCCUGACCGUCUGCCUGAGCAGGGGAAGCUGUUGAGAGAAUUCAGGGAGGGCCCCGAGGCAGGGGGCUGGUGAAGCAAGCGCUUCAUGGAAAAGAGUGCUGCACAGAGAGACCUGCAGAUUCCUUGAGUUCCUCGCGGGUCUUUAGCUGCGUACUGAUCAACACGUGUGCGAAGAAAGUCCUGAAGGCAAAAGAAUCCACAGAAUGGAGCUGAUAGAAAAUCCCUGGAGUUCACACAGGGUUGGGAAACUUUUUUAUUUCUACCAGCCAGAUUGAAAAAGUCUCAGAACACAUGAGGCAUGAAGUAGGAUA
rnacentral:lncRNA from 1 species